GCCCCCCAAAUCCCCCCCCCCCAACUUCCGUGUGUGUGUUGGAAAUAUCUGGAUAAUAACUAAUUGGAGUCAUCAUGUUUAACUAUUCCGAAGUGAUCCACCUAUUAUGUUCUCAACUACACUUUCCAAAUUUCUAGGAAUUUCAGGCUUCUCAGGAUUGAAUGUGGAAGAACAUGCAUGCGGGAACUUAAAAGUGGAACAGUGAGAUCAAGGAUACAUGAUGGCUGACUAAGUACAGCUCAAAUUGCCAAUGACGAUGCCCUUCAGUAACAGGCUCAGUUUGUGAUUCGAAGGUUGAAAGGGUAUAUCUAUGUGACAUGAAUGGUAUACUUUUCUCGAGUAUUUGAAUAUUCUUUUUUUUUUUUUUCCUACUUGAGUCUUUCUGCAUGAGUUUUUACCAUCUCGCAUAUUAUAUUUUUAGUAAAAAAAAGAAAAGAAAAGAAAGCACAAAAGAACAGAAUGACCAA